rnacentral:rRNA from 1 species
GACGAACGCUGGCGGCGCGCUUAACACAUGCAAGUCGAGCGAAGCGGCGGACGGGUGAGUAACACGUGAGUAACCUGCCUUAGACAUUGGGAUAGCCUCGGGAAACCGGGAUUGAUACCAAAUGGUCUAAGAUGGACUCGCGUCCCAUUAGCUAGUUGGUGAGGUAACGGCCCACCAAGGCGACGAGGGGUAGCCGGCCUGAGAGGGUGACCGGCCAAAUUGGAAAUGAGAAACGGUCCAGAAUCGACGGGAGGCAGCAGUGGGGAAUAUUGCACAAUGGAGGGAACUCGGAGGCAGCGACGCCGCGUGAACGAAGAAGGCUUUCGAGUCGUAAAGUUCUUUUAUAUGGGAAGCGGUACCAUAAGAAAAAGCCCCGGCUAACUACGUGCCAGCAGCCGCGGUAAUAC